AUUGAACGCUGGCGGCAGGCCUAACACAUGCAAGUCGAGCGAGCGGCGGACGGGUGAGUACUGUAUGGGGAUCUGCCCGCUAGAGGGGGAUAACUACUGGAAACGGUGGCUAAUACCGCAUACUAUCAGAUGAACCCAGAUGUGAUUAGCUAGUAGGUGGGGUAAUGGCUUACCUAAGCGACGAUCCCUAGCUGGUCUGAGAGGAUGACCAGCCACACUGGAACGGAGACACGGUCCAGACUCCUACGGGAGGCAGCAGUGGGGAAUAUGGCACAAUGGGCGCAAGCCGGAUGCAGCCAUGCCGCGUGUAUGAAGAAGGCCCUAGGGUUGUAAAGUACUUUCAGCGGGGAGGCGUUACCCGCAGAAGAAGCACCGGCUAACUACGUGCCAGCAGCCGCGGUAAUAC
rnacentral:rRNA from 1 species